rnacentral:tRNA from 1 species
AUUUAAAUAGUUUAUAAAAAAUAAAAGUGUGUGGAACUUUAGAAAUGAUUAAUUUUAAAUA